rnacentral:rRNA from 1 species
GCGUAGGAACCUGCCCUUGGGAGGGGGAACAACAGCUGGAAACGGCUGCUAAUACCCCGUAGGCUGAGGAGCAAAAAGGAGGAAUCCGCCUGAGGAGGGGACUCGCGUCUGAUUAGCUAGUUGGUGAGGCAAUAAGCUUACCAAGGCGAUGAUCAGUAGCUGGUCCGAGAGGAUGAUCAGCCACACUGGGACUGAGACACGGUCCAGACUCCUACGGGAGGCAGGCAGUGGGGAAUAUUGCACAAUGGAGGAAACUCUGAUGCAGCCAUGCCGCGUGUAUGAAGAAGGCCUCGGGUUGUA